GAAGAGAGGGGGCGCAGCGGGGGAGGAAAGGGGGCGUAGCGGCCGCCGGAAGCGGGAGUAGGGGUGUCGGCGGUAUUGGCCGCUGAAGAGGAGAGCGGCGGCGGGGGAGAGUGGGGAGGGAAGCACAAUCUAGCUCGCUGUUGGCGCCACACCCGCUCGUCGUGGUUGCGUGACGAGAGCCGGCGCCUCGACGAGGGCGACCCGGUGGGCCUGGGCGGGCAACGGACGUACGGAGGGCGUCGCAGAAGAGGCUAGUGUGUCGGCUGUUGCCAGCAUCCGCCAUGUGUGAACACAACAGCACCAGGUGUACCGGCACGCGCUGGGGUGGCCGCGGCUCGGGAAGCGCGUACUGGUGCGGCCGCAGGGAUGGAUGCGGAUGAUACGGGUCCUGGCUCUCCGCUUGUUCACUACGAACUGCCACUUGUAGACGAGCUCCUGUAGGACGAGUUGCUACGAGGGGAAGCGGUUGUAGAGGUAACGUACCUGGUUACUUCCUUGUUCUUCGUUUAAUAUUGUGAAGUCUAGUACCAGAUCCUCGUCCUUUCGUGUACAGGUAGAAACAUUAUAAGAGUAUAGGUAUUAUGAUUGUGAUGUAUGUUUUAGAGCGUCAAGAGAUCUACGCAGUAGUCGUUACCAAUCAUUCAAUAUGAAGAGGAAGUGGAAAAUCAAUUUUCAUAAACAAUGGGUUCACUCGUAGAGCAAUGUACUUAAAACACAAACACAAUUAUAGAGUCAUGUACCUAGUCUGAAUCCAGAAUGAACUAUUAUGAGAUUCGAUUGAAAUAGUGGUUGAACCAACUUGGUGUAAAUUUAAUAUAAACAAACAGGUCUUCUAAGGUAUAUGAUGUAAAAUACACCUAUUAGGUAGCAGCUCAUACAUAAACAAUCCUACCAUCCUUUUGGUGUUAGACACUGUUCCAUAAUCGUAUUAGAUCUGUAAUAAAAACUCAUACAAAACUUCAUAUAAAAAGAAGGUCAUUUACCAAAUUUACAUACAUAUAAAAAGAGGGUUAUACAAUACCAGUAGACGUAUAUUUAAAAGUACAUGUUGAAGAAUCGAAUCGUCGACUAGUAACCGAGUGGAUAGAUUGAUAGAUCGAACGAAACUGGUGCACAUGUAUAGGUUCUUUAGUACACUGGUAGAGGGCGUCAAGUUAUAACAGAAAACGGAAAGACGAUAAACACACACGGACGUUGGAUGUCAUAUACGAAGAAGAGGACAAGUAAUACCGUCACUUUAAGAUCGAUGCUGUCAUAACAAGAUUCCGGAUCAAUAAAAGGAUAAACUACAAACCACUUAUCAAGAAGUACGAAAGUAAUCGUGAAGUGAUUAAUAGGAAUACCCUGACUUUUCUCAUGUAUAGGUAGACUAUAAACACGGAUAUUUGGCCCAAGGAGUUACCAGUUCUUUGGCCCAGCCACCUUCAGGAUGGUUGUAACAUAAAAAUAAUCCAUUGAUAACAUACGUUUUGAAUAUUAGACGUGUUGAAAUAAACAUUUUUCAGACUUAUAUUGACCUCGACUGUUUUGGACAUUGGUAUCACUAAUUUUUAUACGGGCGUUCGAGAACUCACCAAGAAGUACUUGUACAGUAAAAAAAGUAAAGAGUCGAGUGGUCUCAAUAUGCUUACGUGCACGUAGUUACUAACUGUCAAGUAUGUAGAAUAGGAUAUCGUCACACACUACCAAUUAAACAUGAUACUCCCGGUAGCCAUGAGGGAUCCUCCAAGUAUUUAGACUGGCAAACUUGUACAACUUAAAGUGUCCUGGUACCUAUACUUGUCCGAACAGCCCUGGGGCUAGGAUUCAGUGUGGCUAGAUCGUAUAUUGUGUA
rnacentral:rRNA from 1 species